rnacentral:rRNA from 1 species
CCUACGGGCGGCAGCAGUGGGGAAUAUUGCACAAUGGGGGAAACCCUGAUGCAGCGACGCCGCGUGAGUGAAGAAGUAUUUCGGCACGUAAAGCUCUAUCAGCAGGGACGAGACAAGACGGUACCCGACUAAGAAGCCCCGGCUAACUACGUGCCAGCAGCCGCGGUAAUACGUAGGGGGCAAGCGUUAUCCGGAAUCACUGGGUGUAAAGGGAGCGUAGACGGCUGAGCAAGCCUGAAGUGAAAGGCGGGGGCCCAACCCCCGGACUGCUUUGGGAACUGUACGGCUGGAGUGCAGGAGAGGUAAGUGGAAUUCCUGGUGUAGCGGUGAAAUGCGUAGAUAUUAGGAGGAACACCAGUGGCGAAGGCGGCUUACUGGACUGUAACUGACGUUGAGGCUCGAAAGCGUGGGGAGCAAACAGGAUUAGAUACCCCAGUAGUC